rnacentral:snoRNA from 1 species
AACGCAUGGUGAGGGCACCUUUGCAGUAAUCCUUGUAUCUCUCCCAAGCAUCGUAAAGAGUUUCUAAGUCCAUCUGUACAAAAGAAGAAAUAUCAUUACGUAACUU